AUACUCUGCAGGUGGUAUAUUUGGUAUUCUUAUGGGAGCAAAUUCUGUCAUGCUGAUCAAGGGAAGCCUUCUCCCAAAAUCUCUGGCUGAAAGCCCAUGUAGCCCCAGUGGAAAUUAGUGACCCCAUGAUUGAUGGUCCCUAAGAAAUGACUGCUCAGGUAACACUACAUGUUUAUGGAAAACUUUAUAAUUGGCAAAUUGUUUUCAUAUAUAUUGCCAUAUUUAAUUCUUACAGCAACCUUCUAAAACAUACAAGGCAUAACAUAUUUGGUCUUGCCAGUUGAUGUACCCAUUCUUCAUAGCGCUAAUUAGCCAGAAAGACGAGGUAUGGAAGCAACCUAAAGAUCCAUAAUAGAUGGAUGGAGAAAGAAGAUAAUUUACAUGGAUGCAAAGAAACAUUACUCAAUCAGAAAAAAAGAAUAAAAUUUACCAAUUGCAACAAUCUGGAUGAACCUGGAGGCGAAGCAAUGCUCAAGAAAUGUUUACAGCUGAGGAGGUACCGAGGGGAUUGCCUGAAGGACACGAAGUCCAUCCAUCUCUCCAAAUAGUUUGGAUUAUUUCUCAAGAUCAAGGUAAACCAUCCAAAUUAAAUGGUUGAACUUUAUUAUUCUGGUCCCCCUUCUUCAUGUUUCUAAGUUGCAUUUUGGUCUCAGGCCUCAGUUUCCUUGGAGGGAACCCAAUGACAGACAGGCAUAGGCCAGUCUUUAUUGUGAGUGCUACAGGGGCUGUGGAGAAAGGGCAACCUCUAACCCAUUCAUGUUCCACUCAUGAGGGCACAGAGAGUCAUUUCCUUUAAGCCCAAAUGCCAGGGAACAUCUGGG
ensembl:lncRNA